UGAGGUGGCUAAACGGUCGCACGCAAUGCGUGAGGAAAGUCCGAGCACCAAAGGGCAGGGUGCCAGAUAACGUCUGGUGGAGGCGACUCCAAGGAGAGUGCAACAGAGAUAUACCGCCUAUUGUGUUCUUGCAAUAGGUAAGGGUGGAAAGGUGUGGUAAGAGCGCACCGGCGGCUUGGCGACUUGUCCGUCCUGUAAACCCCACUCGGUGCAAGAUGACCGGAAGUGUAGCCUGCCCGGCAAGCUUCCGACGAUCGCUAGAGCAUAUUGGCGACAAUAUGCCAAGACAGAUGACCGUUCUCGACAGAACUCGGCUUACUGCCACGCUCAAUUU
rnacentral:RNase_P_RNA from 1 species